rnacentral:rRNA from 1 species
AACGAACGCUGGCGGCAUGCCUAACACAUGCAAGUCGAACGAGACCUUCGGGUCUAGUGGCGCACGGGUGCGUAACGCGUGGGAACCUGCCCUUAGGUUCGGAAUAACUCCCCGAAAGGGGUGCUAAUACCGGAUAAUGUCUUCGGACCAAAAAUUUAUCGCCUUUGGAUGGGCCCGCGUUGGAUUAGCUAGUUGGUAGGGUAAAAGCCUACCAAGGCGACGAUCCAUAGCUGGUCUGAGAGGAUGAUCAGCCACACUGGGACUGAGACACGGCCCAGACUCCUACGGGAGGCAGCAGUGGGGAAUAUUGGACAAUGGGCGAAAGCCUGAUCCAGCAAUGCCGCGUGAGUGAUGAAGGCCUUAGGGUUGUAAAGCUCUUUUACCCGGGAUGAUAAUGACAGUACCGGGAGAAUAAGCUCCGGCUAACUCCGU